UGCGGAUGGGCGAACGUCAAUGUGCAUCAUCAAAAACAAAGCAUAGUGCUGGCGCUUAUUAUGAUGUCAUCUCCUGUGAUGCACACUGUUAUGAAAAUACCGGAGCAAAACCGAACGAGGUCCCCAUUUUCCCUGGAUUCACAUGUAAUAAUAAUAAUGUAAUGUAAUAAUUCACAUAGAUGAAACUGAAAUGUGUGUUUUACUUAUUUCAGCAUGCCACAGCAGAGGAAACCAAUGAAAAACAGUUCUUCAGGGCUGUUUCUGCAAAAGACAGUGCUAAAGGAGGCUGGAGACCUUUUGGAUGCAUCAUUACUUUUUUAGGUUAACUAUUGCAGGUAC